ACUUACUUGAUACUUGAUGGGCAACAAUUCACAACGAUAAAUCUACGCCGAAUGGAUUAUCCUUCUCCACUGGUCAGUAAUUGCCUGACUUCAAGCUACACUUGUCUUUAUGUAACAUGUUCCAGGCUCCUCAGAACAAGCUUAUCUUGUUAGUUAUUCGAGCACACAACAAAAGACUCAAACACAUAAACAUGAUACGUAUCCUAAUCCGAUAAGUACUUCUUGGAGGAGUGUUAAUUCUAAGGACGUUGUUUGUGUUGUGUUGAUUCCAGACAUCAAAACAACUUCAAAGUUUUGCACGAGAACAACAAUUCCGGAUCCUUAUGAAAGAUUUGCAUGACCUUAUAAUCUUCACAUAAAUCAUUUAAAGGCAUUUAAAUAACAAUUAAUUGCAUAGUUUUAUUCAAACGUAAACAACAUUUCAGUAACUCCACAGAAAAUAUAGUCCAACUCACCAACAACUCGAUCAGUCACGAAAGAAGAAAAAAAAAUCUCCACGCCCUCUAAAUAAGAGAAUGAUACGGGUCCCAAUAAACUGUAGCUACUGUCCUGAUAACAUUUAGAAGAAAAUGAUCAAAUUUGAAGCUCGGUUAACGCGUCCUGAAGCAAUGAUGUUGAAAUGCUGUCUCGCUUUGGGGUUUAGUGUCUACGACGGCGGUGAUGGUAAUGAUGGAGAGACAGCAUCAGUAUAAAUUUAAUUUAAUCAAAUUGGGUUGGAACAGCAGUAUAUACGAUGGAAUGCCGGCGGACAGCACGAGGCGGCAAAUUAUCCGUUGCCAUCAUUAUGCUGAAAUGAAUGGGGCAAUUAUUUUUUUUUUCUCUUCGGCUCCGUCGCUUUGCCGCAAGCUAUGGAGGAUGCCGUUGAUAUCAAAAAUACAGGAAACAGCUUUUUUCUACGGGACGAUUGAUUCCUAUCUAGUAGCGGCAACUUUAUAUUGAACAAACUCGAAGUUCAUUUAAAAUCACAUGAAAAAAAAAAAA